AAUUGAGUUGCAGUUACUCUUCUAGUAAGUCCUCAACACCGACAAUUGGAAAGAAAGGUGCAUAGGUUAAGGGCGUAACGUGUUUACACCAAAGGCAGCCUACAAAAUUACAAUGACGAAGAUAAUACAUUUCGGCUAAAAGUGCCGGAGUCUCAACGACGAUGACGUCAUUCUGACUACCAGAGCCCUAGAAACACAGCACAUGGCGUGAGGGCACACUAUAGUCUAAGCCAAAGGCUAAAAAAGCCAUGAAUUCAGCUGAUCUGGAUGACAAAGCAGCAAAUAGUACUCCUCUCUUACAUUUUGAUCUUUGACCAAAAAAAAAACCUGGGGGAGCGGCAUUCCUAUAGAACCAAGAUGAGAUGUUGACUCCAAGAUGAGAUGUUGACUCUGAGAUGAGAUGUUGACUCUGAGAUGAGAUGUUGACUCUGAGAUGAGAUGUUGACUCUGAGAUGAGAUGUUGACUCUGAGAUGAGAUGUUGACUCUGAGAUGAGAUGCUGACUCUAACAUGAGAUGCUGACAGAAUGCUGUUGUCACAUGGUUGUACAUACCAGGAGCUGUGCUUGUUACUUGUCUGAUGGCAGACAGGGAUCCUUCUGAAGUCUUCUUAUCCAGACUUUGGCCUUCACCGGGGAAGAGGAUCUCAGUACGGCGAUCACUAUAAACAGUCUCUCUUCUAUCUGUGACCUGCACAUAGUGCAACCGCAUUUAGCAUAUUUUGAAUAUGUCUUUUUUCAUGUCUCACAAAAUUGUUCUUUGUCCUUACUAAUGGUACUCUUCUAAGUUAUUUAAAAAAAGAAACUAAAGAAACUCGGAAAACUUUAUUGUAUGUUUUGUAAAGGACCUUAGACAAGUAGUUGUGAAUGUUUCAGCGUAGUAAAGUAGCAUGGUAGAUUCCCGGAAAGUCAUAGCCCUACUGUAACCAUACUUAUACUAAUAUCUUAUAUCUAAUGACGUGAAAACUUCAUUGAGAGAAUAUGUAGACUCACAUUAAUCGGCACGCCAUCAGGAUAUCGUGACUGCAGUUCUGAAGGGAAAUAGCCUUCCAUGAUAUCUCUCAUGCAUUGCUGAGAAUGGGAACAAGUAUUGGAACAAUAAUAAAGUAUGAAUUUCG